GAAAAGUNAGCCUUUGCAGACCAUCUAGAGAGAACAGAGAAUUGAGUCCCAGCCCCUCGUCUUUUCUUUUAGCAUCAAGUGGAGCUGAGGAAGAGGAGCAGGAGUAAGAAGAAAAGCGAAGCUUUGAAAGCUUGCAGAAGUUGCCUGAAAGAACUGGAGGGAGCUCGCAGCCUGAUUUCACUUUUGCAAAGCUGCCUGGGGAGGCUCCCUGACAAGGGUGGCUUUCAUCAGCUCUUAUGUCAAGACCCCCCGGGUGAGGUGUACAAAUCAGCGCCUGCUGGAGCCCACCAGCCAUGCGGGGAGCCUGUGGAUGUUGCUACUCCUGCCAUGUCCUUGCUGGCUACCCCAGUUCCUCUGACCCAGGAUCCUCCACUUCUUAGCCCAAAGACUCCUUCAGUUUCUGUUCAUUCCCACUCAUCCCCGAGUGCCUCUUGGCCACCAGAACCUUUUCUUCCCCUGGGCAGCCUUUUACCACAGCCACUUGCUCUUUCCCCUCCCCCUCCAUGUCCCCUUA